rnacentral:hammerhead_ribozyme from 1 species
AUACAGCUGACGAGUUUUGUAUAGGACGAAACGCACGUCCUGGAU